rnacentral:rRNA from 1 species
CCUACGGGUGGCAGCAGUGAGGAAUAUUGGUCAAUGGACGCAAGUCUGAACCAGCCAUGUCGCGUGCAGGAUGACUGCCCUAUGAGUUGUAAACUGCUUUUGUACGGGGGUAAACUCCGAUACGCGUACCUGUCUGAAAGUAUCUUACGAAUAAGGAUCGGCUAACUCCGUGCCAGCAGCCGCGGUAAUACGGAGGAUUCAAGCGUUAUCCGGAUUUAUUGGGUUUAAAGGGUGCGUAGGCGGUCGGUUAAGUUAGAGGUGAAAGCUCGAGGCUCAACCGCGGAAUUGCCUUUGAUACUGUCAGGCUAGAGAGCAGUAGAGGUAGGCGGAAUGUAUGGUGUAGCGGUGAAAUGCUUAGAGAUCAUGCAGAACACCGAUUGCGAAGGCAGCUUAC